GACGAACGCUGGCGGCGUGCUUAACACAUGCAAGUCGAACGGAAAGGCCCUUCGGGGUACUCGAGUGGCGAACGGGUGAGUAACACGUGGGUGAUCUGCCCUGCACUUUGGGAUAAGCCUGGGAAACUGGGUCUAAUACCGAAUAGGACCACGCGCUUCAUGGUGUGUGGUGGAAAGCUUUUGCAGUGUGGGAUGGGCCCGCGGCCUAUCAGCUUGUUGGUGGGGUAAUGGCCUACCAAGGCGACGACGGGUAGCCGGCCUGAGAGGGUGACCGGCCACACUGGGACUGAGAUACGGCCCAGACUCCUACGGGAGGCAGCAGUGGGGAAUAUUGCACAAUGGGCGCAAGCCUGAUGCAGCGACGCCGCGUGAGGGAUGACGGCCUUCGGGUUGUAAACCUCUUUCACCAGGGACGAAGCGUAAGUGACGGUACCUGGAGAAGAAGCACCGGCCAACUACGUG
rnacentral:rRNA from 1 species